AAUAGUUCCUUGACUAUAACUUUUUCCAUAAUUUUACAGCAUGUCGACGGGAGACUUACAGGUCUAUAGUUAGCAGGAUCAAGUUUAUCUCCUGACUUGUACAAAGGCGUGAUUGUUGCUUGCAACCACUCGUAGGGCAAAGUGCCUUGUAAGAAUGAUUUUGUCAUCAUUUUGGCAAGUGGGCCCGACAACGAAGCAGCACAAGUUCUCAGGAGUUUGGGAGGUAUCUGAUCCGGACCUGGAGCUGUAUUUAAUUUAAUGGCACAGAGUUGGCUUUUUACCAGAUCCGGAGUAAAAUUAAUAUAAGACAACCCACUAAAUGUAGCAGCAAAACUGUCCGCUAAAGUGUUUGCAGUUUCUGUAUGAUCGGAGCAGAGUAGACCUGAAGCAUUUCGUACUAAAGGGACCGACACACGACUAGAGAUAAAUUUACGUACAUGGGAAUAAAAUAGUUUUGGUUUAUUUAAUAUAGAAUUUUCAUAAUUACACCUGGCUAUUUGUAAAUCAGAUUUUAGUUGGUUAGAAAAUCUUUUAUAAGCAGAAAAAUUAUCUUCAGUAGGCUUCCUUUUAAAUUUUUUCCAUAAUUUAGCUUUGUAUUUUAUUUUGUCAAGCAUGUGUUGAUUUAUCCACGGUUUAUCUUUUCUCAGUCGGUUUGUAAACAGUCUGGAAUUUGUUGUAAUGCAAGUUUGUAAAAUCGAUUUAAAAUGUUUCCAUUGUUCUUCCGCAUUUAGUGAAUCUAAACCAUUCCAGUCGUAAGUCAAGAGACUUUCGUCUAUGCGAGUGUAGUCAACAAUUGAUGUUGUUUUAAUUCUUGCAUUUGGCUCUGAAUAUAUCAUAAUUUGUAACUCAAUUUCGAUUUUUGAAUGAUCAGAUGUACCUACAGGAUUCGAAACGUUUAAAGACGAUACAAGGUUAACGUCAGACAAAAUUACCAAAUCAAGUAAUGAAGGACGUUGUUGGGAUCUAAAUCGUGUAGGUUCAGUGACUAUUUGUGACAAAUUAUUCUCCAAGAGCAAUUCAGAAAAUUGUUUUUCGAUGAUUGUUUGACCUGUUGUGUUUUUAGCAGACCAGUCUAUACAUGGAAAAUUGAAAUCUCCCAUGAUAAUUAAGUUAGGAUACUGAUUAAUAGUUGAUUGUAUGGUAUUAAAUAGAUUUUUAUCAUUUUCGUGAUUGUUAAAAGACGCUCCUGUUGGUGGUCUGUAAAUACAUGCUAUAACAAAGGUUUGUUCAUUUCCUUCAAAUUUUAACCAUAGAGAAUCAUAAGGUUUAACAGAUAUGCAAAUUUGAGUAAUUUUAAAAAAUUUUGAAAUUUUAAUUUUAUCUACAUAAAAACACACACCGCCACCUUUUUGAGAUAGGCGAUCAUCUCUGUAAAUAGAGUAAUUUUCAAUGUGUACAGCAUCAUCAGAGAUAGACGGAUUAAGCCAAGUCUCCGUGAGUGCGAUAAUAGAAGGUCUAAAUUCAGUUACUUCUAAUAACAAAUCAUUAAAUUUUGAAGAUAAAGAUGCGAUAUUCGUAUACAGAAGAGCCAUUGAACAAGGUAAUUUCCAGAGGAAACAACAACAACCACAUACACCCAGAUAUCAAAUUCAACAAUCAACACCAAGAAUCAACCACUGAAAAUGAAUCCCAAAGGCAAGAGCACGCAGAGACACGACUGCAC